rnacentral:rRNA from 1 species
UGGGGAAUAUUGCACAAUGGGCGAAAGCCUGAUGCAGCAACGCCGCGUGAGUGAUGAAGGCCUUCGGGUUGUAAAGCUCUGUCUUUUGGGACGAUAAUGACGGUACCAAAGGAGGAAGCCACGGCUAACUACGUGCCAGCAGCCGCGGUAAUACGUAGGUGGCAAGCGUUGUCCGGAUUUACUGGGCGUAAAGGAUGCGUAGGCGGAUUUUUAAGUGAGAUGUGAAAACCCUAAGCUUAACUUGGGGACUGCAUUUCAUACUGGAAAUCUAGAGUGCGGGAGAGGAGAAUGGAAUUCCUAGUGUAGCGGUGAAAUGCGUAGAGAUUAGGAAGAACACCAGUGGCGAAGGCGAUUCUCUGGACCGUAACUGACGCUGAGGCAUGAAAGCGUGGGUAGCAAACAGGAUUAGAUACCCUGGUAGUCCACGCCGUAAACGAUGAGUACUAGGUGUAGGAGGUAUCGACCCCCUUCUGUGCCGCAGUUAACACAAUAAGUACUCCCGCCUGGGAAGUACGAUCGCAAGAUU